rnacentral:rRNA from 1 species
GACGAACGCUGGCGGCGUGCUUAACACAUGCAAGUCGAACGGAAAGGCCCUGCUUUUGUGGGGUGCUCGAGUGGCGAACGGGUGAGUAACACGUGAGUAACCUGCCCUUGACUUUGGGAUAACUUCAGGAAACUGGGGCUAAUACCGGAUAGGAGCUCCUGCUGCAUGGUGGGGGUUGGAAAGUUUCGGCGGUUGGGGAUGGACUCGCGGGUUAUCAGCUUGUUGGUGGGGUAGUGGCUUACCAAGGCUUUGACGGGUAGCCGGCCUGAGAGGGUGACCGGCCACAUUGGGACUGAGAUACGGCCCAGAGUCCUACGGGAGGCAGCAGUGGGGAAUAUUGCACAAUGGGCGGAAGCCUGAUGCAGAAACGCCGCGUGCGGGAUGACGGCCUUCGGGUUGUAAACCGCUUUCGCCUGUGACGAAGCGUGAGUGACGGUAAUGGGUAAAGAAGCACCGGCUAACUACGUG